rfam:Ornithorhynchus anatinus chromosome 3, whole genome shotgun sequence.
CCUCUCUUAGGGUCACACCUGGAGAGUUUCCAGUACUCUACCAGUCUCGACUAUGGGAGGUAGAGUCAAGCAGAGGCAUUCCAUUCCUUGCUUGGGUAGUGGCUAGAGAGUGGAAGGCAAUCUGCUACAAAC